rnacentral:lncRNA from 1 species
AAUGGUGCCUUCACAAGUGACCUCUCUUGUGGUCACUCUCCUAGUGGCAAUAGUCUCUCUCACAUUGCCUUCAGAAACUUCAGCUAACUACCCUUACACCUCUCCACCACCACCGGCCUCUCCUCCCUACCAUUACAAGUCACCACCGCCUCCUUCUCCUUCUCCUCCAGUGCACUACUCACCACCUAAGCAUCCCUACCACCCUAAGUCACCACCACCUCCUGUGUACGCACCACCUAAGCAUCCCUACCACCCUAAGUCACCACCACCUCCUGUGUACCCACCACCUAAGCAUCCCUACCACCCCAAGUCACCACCACCAUCACCAAAGCCUUACCACUACAAAUCCCCACCACCACCUCCUGCUCCAGUGCACUCACCACCCCCACCUAAGGAGCCAUACCACUACAAGUCCCCACCACCACCACCCAAGAAGCCCUACCACUACAAAUCUCCCCCACCACCUCCUCCUCCAGUUCACUCACCACCACCACCCAAGGAGCCUUACCACUACAAAUCUCCACCACCACCACCCAAGAAACCUUACUAUUACAAGUCUCCUCCACCACCACCAAAGAAGCCUUACCACUACAUGUCUCCUCCCCCACCGGUGUACUCACCACCUCCACCAGUGCACUCACACCCACCACCAAAAAAGCCUUACCAUUACAAAUCUCCUCCCCCGCCAGAAUAUUCACCAGCUCCACCAGUGCACUCAACCCCACCACCAAAGAAGCCCUACCAUUACAAAUCCCCACCACCACCACCACCACACAAGAAGCCUUAUUACCCUGUUCACUCACCACCUCCACCUAAGAAGCCUUACCACUACAAAUCCCCACCACCACCUUCUCCUACUCCUCCUAAAUACUCACCACCUAAGCACCCCUACCACUACAAGUCUCCACCACCACCACCAAAGAAGCCUUACCAUUACAAGUCCCCACCACCUCCUUCUCCUACUCCCCCUAAAUACUCACCACCUAAGCACCCCUACCACUACAAGUCACCACCACCACCACCCCAAGAAGCCUUACCACUACAAGUCUCCACCACCACCACCUCCUCCAGUUCCCACACCAUCUCCACCCAAGAAACCUUACCACUACAAGUCUCCCCCACCACCCCCUCCAGUCUACAAGUCUCCUCCACCACCAGUUUACUCACCACCACCACCACCUAAGAAACCUUACAAGCCACCAACUCCUCCAGCAGUUCACCCACCACACGGUUACAUCUAUUCCUCACCCCCACCUCCUCACCACUACUAGAUAUUGAAAGUUUAAUUGCAUCAAGCUGGUAAGCUUCUCCAUUCUAUGCUAUUAUUCAUUAAUUAGUUAGUACUACUGUUGUCAAUUUGGAAAUCACCAUACAACCAAAUGCACACUCUGACGAAAUAACAUAUAAAUUCUAAUUGAAUAGUCUUUAUUUCCAUUUUUGGCUAAUAAUCCUUAUUAGCAUAUGGAUAAUGUAUUUCCAACAUAUCGUUAUUAACUUAUUACUCAAUUAAUAUUUCUUUUUCUUUAAAUUCAGUAGCCGUGUGUAACAAAUAGACCAAUGGCAGAGACCCAACAAAUAACAAUAAUAUGUCUUUGCAGGUAAGGGAAGAAGAAAGGUCAGAAUAAAGAGGGGCUGUUGAAGUCGAACAGCGCGCCUUAUUACCACACAAAGAAGAAGAGAGAGAAAAAAACGAGUCUCCACGCAGCUGCUGAUGUGACGUGUUUUAUGUAUGCGAUAUUCGAUAGAGGUUCAUAUUUUCCUUGGAAUAUUAGACAGUUGUAGGGCACUCAUGUUCCAUGUAUUUUAUUUCCUGUUUCUCAAAAGAGAUGGUAUAUGUAUGUUGUUUGUUUCAACCUUCUAAUGGAGAGGUGAUCAUCAUAAUAAUAAAAUAAAUACAUUCCCCAAAUUUUACUUAAUUUCUCAUAUAUCUGAUAUGUUUUACUCUCUUAAUUAAAGUUUCCUAAUAAUGUUAUAAAAACCACGUAUAUCACAUUGGUGUACCAUUUAUUCUCACAAGUAAUGUCACGUCAAUUAAUGAGUUUAUCUCAUUGAAUAGUAAUUGACUUGCUUACAUUAUAUGGUAAUAAUGUGGUGUAAAUAUGUCGCAUCGUCCUUAACAUCACUCUAAAUUUCUUGGUAAUAAUAUAUGCGAGCAGUGUUAACAAAUCAAAGGAUGAGAAAGAAGAAAAACUAUUUGCAAAUUCUUAUUCUUAAUAUUUCAUAAACACAAAAUAAAGAAGACUAUGAAUUGUUCAAAUGCAUACUAAGUGAUCUAUUUUGGCAAAUCAUCUUAGUAUUGUAUUAUUUUCUUCAAUUAAGUGAUCUAUUUUUUUUCAAUUUGUUUUCCAUAUUUCAUGGCUUAAAUUUGUGAUUACUUUUUCAACAUAAAUGUCAAAUACUUUUUCUAAAAGUUAAUGUUGUCUAUUAUUUAUCCGUUGCUGGGAAAAAAAGUUAAAGUGGUAAUCUUAUUGAUAAAACUUAGUUCACUACACUAUAUAUACAAUUGUCUUCCGGUAGACCAUCAUGGAUAAAAAAUCAAAAGGAUUAUCGAAACCCCAAAAAAUUCUCACUAGUAGAAAGAUUGUUCAAAUUCUACAAUGAACCACAAGAAGUCUAACUCACUUGGUCAUUGCUGAUUGACUAUCAUUACUAGGUUAAAGCAACAUUUUAAGUUUUAACCUAAAUAGGAUCUCAACAAGCUAGGGUUUGAGAUUAGUGUUUUAGGUGACGACAGAGCUCUUUCCUUUCUUUAUGUUAUCCAAACUCUUUUUCUUUUUUCAUUUUUAUCAAGAAACUGUAGGUCUCAAUCAAAUUUAUGGAUUAUGGAUUUUAGUUAUGUAUUCUUAGUGUGGAAAUUUGACUAUAAAAUACGUUGACACUUGUCCUUUAAACUAAUGCAACCGAACAAACUUGUAGUUAACAAUUUUAUUAAGAGAGAUUAUAUUCACACACUUCAAAUUACUUAUGUCACACCUUUCUAAUUUUUUAAUAUUUUCUACACACCACUAACACUUGAAAGAAAAAAUAUUAAAAAAAUUAAAAGAGUGUGGGGCAAGUAAUUUGGGGUGUGUGAAUAUAAUCUCUCUUUCAUUAAAUCAUAACAUGGUGGAGUGAGUAAGUGAUGAGGAAAGACAAUUACGUCGCUCAUAUGCAAAUGAGUGGACAAACCUUCCAAUGGAUGCAACGGUGGUCAUGAAUUAUGAUUGUGUGUAGGGUUUCGAGUUACCGACGUUGACUGUCAUGCAAAUUGAGUACGUAGCCACUUACACUUAAUGGCAGAGGUCGAUGAUUUGCGCUACGGAAAAUGGUUUGAUUUGCUUAUACCAAUUACCAAACAAAGCAAAUAUAUUCGUCCUUUUGGUUUGGUUGUCAACUGUCAAGUAUGCGUUAGAAUUUUUUAAUUUGGGUUAAAUAAAAUAAAAAAACAAUACUCAAAACUUUUUGGGGAUGAGAUCUGAGAAAUUUAAUUUUUUCCCUUCAUAUAUUAGGGAUGAAAGUUGACUUAAUCACACACAAUGGAUCAUACCAACAAUAAUUUAGUAUCGAAUUCAUCAUUCAUGAAAAUCAUAUUUGAGCCUAAAUAAAAAUAAGCAUGUUAUGGGGUCAAUCUACUUUUAUUUACAGAAAGUUGCACGACUCAGGCCCACCAACUUCAAAGCCUAAUUCAAGAUCAUAUCACAAAGCUUGGGCGACCUUUUUGUCCCCCUCCUAGCUAUUCGAGGGCUUGGGUAGAUCUCUCUAUGAAGUGCGUCCACCACGCAGAUGACCAGACCCGGGAAUAUCUCGCCUCCUUAAAUGUUGAUGUACGCAUCAUCUAACAUGCUAAUGUCACCAUUGCAAUUAUGAAAACGGCCAUGAAAUACAGUUUAAGGCCACCAACCAGAAAUUAUAGUCAAUGUCAACUCACCGAUCUACCCAUGCUCCAUCUUAGCCAUGAGAUCGAGGUUGCUCUUGCUUCAUUGCCUAUAAAUAGAGUGGGAAACCUUCAAACUUAGGACCUUCGUCUGAUCCAAUCUCUACAAUUAUAUAAAACCUCGAUUGAUUCUUCAAUCAACCCAACUUCUUUCAAAGUACAAUCCAAUUGCUCUUCAACUACAAUCACAAAGCCUUCGUUAAAAGCAAACAUUGCCUAUGUCCCUGAGAUCUUAAACUUUUACAGCUUUUCCAACCCGUGGUAUGAUUCGGUUGAUGUGUCAAUCCAACCACCCUGAUUUCCUCUUAGAGGCACAUGUUUUGGACUAAGUCCAAUUUGAUACCAGAGACCUCAGUGGACUCCUCUAGCAUUAUCUAUCCCUUCAUGGCCUAAAUCUUGUAAGAGUUUUUACAGCUUUCUUUACAAUUUUACUCAAUUUUCAUUUCAAGUCAUGUAGCUCGGCCCAUCGGCCAAGAUUUUACUUUUAUAUAAUGCUUGUAAUGUUGACUUCAUUAUGAAAUAAUUACAUUUUGUUCAUCACAUUAUUUUCCAUUUUCCUUUUUCAUGUUUUAGGCAAAAACACAAAAAAGUUACAUUGAAUUUUAAGUCCUCAUUCACUCAAGGCAUAGAAAAAAACUUAAACGAACUAGCGUCUCAUUCAAUGCACAACAAUUGGUUAAGAAGUCAGAUCUUUGCGCAACUUUCACACACAUCCAAAUACAAAGAUUGUCUGUUGACAGCCUCCAACAAUAGCACACCCAUUCUCUCAUUUUCUCGAGCCACCUCGUGACAUUGAUAUAAAAAAUAACACUCGGGGAAAAUAAAAGUUACAGUAGUAGUGAAAGAAAUUUAGUUGUUGUAAUAACUGAAUUUUGAAGGGCAUAUUAAGUAAUAAAAAUUAUGAGCAGAUAGUAUUUGCCCCAUUUGGCCUAGUGUCGACCAAAAAUGUACCUUCACCUAGAAAAGGAUUGUAGAAAGUGAAGUUAGUUCAAUAAUUGUCCUCUUUUUUGUUUUCUUUUUCGAUAUUUUAAGUGCUAUAUUGAGACUUUGGGGGCUUUUUUUUCCCAAAGCUCUGGCCUAUUCCGCGAAGAACUGAGAUUGAAUGGAGACUUUAUCAUUCUCACUAAUAUUAUAAGAAAAAUUGCACAAUACCAUUGUAUUAUUAAUUUGAGACAAUGGUAUUAAUUAUAGACAUUACAAUAGUGUCAAGAAUAAUGCAAAUAACUCAUUCUCCUUUGUUUAUUAGGUCGAAUUUCACUAGCUACAAAUAAGUUUAGCGGGGUGUAAGGAUGGAGACUUUAUCAUUCUCACUUAUAAAUCAUCAUAUAUUUAGGUGUGGGGUAAGGGGUUGGGGUAGAUUAGGUCCCAGGUUCGAGGCCUGGUGGGGUGGGGUGGGGUUGAAAAAAAAAAUCAUAUAUUUAGGUGUGGGUUUGGAAGGUAGACUUGAUUCCGCGGUGUUUUGAGGAGGAGGAGGGCAAUCUUAUUCUUGGUUUACCAAUAAGUUUAGCAGGGUGUAAGGAUAGAGUCAUAUGGCACUAUUCAAGAAAAGUUGCAAAACCACUAAAACUUUAUUUUAAGAGUCAAAUCUACUAAAUUCUUCUCCAAGAGACUUGAUAAAGGACUCUAUAUAAUAGCAAGUUGCUCUUUAAAUUUAUAAGUAAUGCCUAAUGGGGCUUUUAAGAAAAUAUUAAUAUUUAAAAAAAAAGUAUUAAUUUUUGUUUUAGACAUUGUAUAAGGAAAAUGAUAAGCAUACAUCCUUUUUAGCCUCGAUCAACACUUAUAUUUAAUCUUGUUCAUUAUUUUUGUUUGAUUUAUACAAUGCGAUGGUCAAAAAAAUAAAUAAAAAAUAUGUUUGAGAAGUUAAAAAUGAUGUGUGAAAAUCACCUGCCAAUAAACAAAUCUAUUAUUAAAACUAAUACAAACUUUAAAACUAAAACUCAUGAUCAAUUAAGAAACGCUCAAGUCAAAUUCAUAAUAGCCAUAAAACAUAAAACACCUAAAUUUACUAUGCCAAUUCAAUCAACAAUCGUAUUAUAAAUAUGUUAAAUCCUUACAUGAAUGGAAUUGUUAGCCCAUCAAUCCAAGUAAUUGAAUGAUCUUUGGAGAUUUACUUAAGAGCAGUAUUAAUAUGAAUUAUGAACUUAUGAGAGAGAAAUAAUCUAUUAUUCUUUUCUCUAUUAGGCUAUAUUAUAUUUAUUUUGUUAUUGAAGAAAUUAUAUAUUGUAUAAUAUUUCCAUGGGGUGCAAAAACAUCGGGGCGCCUUUUUUUAGUUGGGGACCUUGUGCAAUGUCUUAUAUUCCUCCCCUUCAAUCCGGCACUGACAGGAAGGGAGAGAACGAUUUAAAAAAUGAACGGGUUGAAUUUGAAUUGAUAAUAAUUAGUAAAUUAUUUAAACUUUGUUAAAUAGAAAAUAUUGUUGAAAAUGAAAAGUUAAACUGAGUAAUUAAAAUAGUUUUUUUGACACUUUUCACUUGCUUGUUUAACAAAAAUUUAGAGCUUGUCUUUGAGAUACUCUUACUCCUUUAUUUAAAGGACUCGGCUUUUCUAUUAUAGCUGUCGUAUUCAAUAUUGUUGCAAUUAAUGAACUUAAAUCAUUUCGUUAUGACCAAAUUAAGAUAAUCAUGGACAUGUAGAUUAGGUAGCUAAUUCUGAUUUUGACUCGAUCACAUCAAGGUUAUCGUAAUUAAUGUCGGUUAAUUUAAUAUGCGUCUCUGAUCUGAUUACAUUACCAUGGUACGUAAACAUGUGUAUCCAUCUGCAAGACUCAAGAUUUAUAAUUUUGUUUUGUUUACUGUUUUUACGAAGAUAUUUAUGAUUUGAUUUUAUAAUAAAUUUUUUUUUAAAAAAAAAAUCAGAGCAAAACUGCAUCAUGGCCAACAAUCCAGCCAGAUUCAGUUCAACUAUAAUUUUGGCCAAUUUUUCAAAGCUGAUGGAUGUUAGUAGAUUUGUGUGGGGAACACUGAAAAGGCUAGAUUAUGAAAUACCAGAAAAGUAUUGACAUUUCAAUUGCUUAAACCAACCAUGAUGAAGAGUUCUAUGAAUUAUUUUUCAAAAUUUGAUUAAAUUGUGUCAUCCAGAUUAACGAACAUUGUUUCAUUGAAAUUAGUUCAUCAAGAUUGCGUAACUGGGAUAGCUUUCACACUGUAUUAACAUACAAAGAGGCUCUACUUCGUUAGAGUGUUCAAACUGUACACGUAAUUUGACUGCCGUACACAUUUUUCUUAUAUCUCUCCAAUCAACUUUAUUUUUCCUUUUGAAUAAAUUAAAGAUAAAGAAAGAAAACCAUUUUGCCUUAAAUGGCAAGAGAUUGAUGAAAAUCUACUCUAAAGAAGGGACAGGAUAUAUAUAAAUUAAAAUUCAUCAUGUACAAAGUAAGCGUAGGACAUUUUCAUCAUUUUACUUUGUCGUGCCCAUAAUUCUUUGCUCUAUAUAUUUUAUCUUUGUUGGUGGUCGAUGCUUUGGUUGGCUGUCAAUUGCGACGGACUGUCGUAAAAAUUGUCGGCAACCAACCAUGUGUUCUUGCAUGCCCGAUGUUCUCGCCACCUCACGUGGAAAUUUCCAAUGGAAUGGAGGGCCAAAUUUCAGUUUUUAUAUCAAUUUGUUUAUGUUAAAAUUUUCUUGUAAUAUAAGUCAAUGGUUGAAUUUGCAGUAGAAACAAACAAAAUAUGUGGACGAAUUUGAUAAAGUACAAGAAAAAAAAAACUGCAACUUAAGUAGAUGACGUGAUUCUUCACCCGGACAACAAGGAAGAAGACAUGAAAUCGGGAACACUGGAUGACGAAGUACACAAAUUAAACUUAUCUAAUCCAUUUUAAUAAAUUGUUACAGGGUGGCCAGUGGUCGGGAAUAAAUCACAGACUCGCAUUUCAGAUACCUCACGAACUUGAUUUUUGUUACUAACAAAUCACAUGAAGGUGACCAAGAGAAGGUUGAAAUGUCAUUGUGAGACGUCUUUCUUACCCUCGAAAGAUGAACUACCGUAAUGAAGCCACCAACUCAUCUUUUUAAAGGAAAGAAAAUCUAAGCCGUCCUAAUACAUGUUGUCACUCAUGGGAAUUAGAGAAGAAAUAUUCGUUAGCCACUUACAGUUGGAUGCUUAUUAUAUUAACUAGUUACAAAGUCAAAGGUUUUUCAUUGAAUGGAAUCAUAAGAUGUAAACAUCUAGGAUUAAUAUUUGGAAAAUAAUUAAACUCAAUCCCACCGCGUAGUUCUGUAACAAGUUUAUAUGUCUAAUAGAGUUUAUAGAUCUAAUAGUUAGUUAAGAGUAUUCAUUCUUACUCUUGAAGUUUUUUUGUUGACACUCUCUCUUUUAACCAUUUCUUGUAAUCAUUACAAGAAUUUGGAUUCUUUUAAUCCUAGGAGUGCAAUACUAAUUCUUAAUCUUUGUGUUAACCAUAAUAUCAUGACACAUAUCACCAAGUAUGAUCAGCAACUAGGAGAACGAGAGAAGAUGCGUGACUUAAGAAAAUUGAUGUGAUUUUGGAUUUUUUUUUACUUUAUGCACGCCCGCUCUUUAAAAAAAAAGAAAAAAGAUAUGUGAAAGGUGAAAAACAGUUGUUUCCGACAAACAUAAUUCACUUUCUAUAUGUGUACUUUGUAUUUUUUUUCAUCAAGUAAGGAAAUGGUGAAAAGAAAAAUGUACAUUAAUCGUAUCAUAUGAUAUAUUGUUCUUCUCAAGACAACUAAGAAGCUAAACUUAAUGUCAGAGAUUAAGACGUUUUGUUGGCUUGUCAUUCAAGGAAAGCUUAAUACAUAUAAUAUAGAGUUGGGAAGGUUAAUUUGUCCGUAUCUUGUGUAAAACAUGAUCUGGAUUUCAAACCCCCUAGACUUUUUGUUGUCCUACUCACGCAGCCCAUUCCCAAGUUCCAACCCUCCCAACAACCCUAUCCAGGAAGGCCAGCGCAGAUGUUAAGGCUGUGACCAGGGUUGUAAUACCAUCUCCAAUGGAUAAGUCAAAUCAUAAGUGGAAUGUCGCAUAAUUAAAUUUAAAAGUAAAAAAGAAGUUCCAACCGAUAGUUUUUCCGGAUCCUGAAAGAGUGGAUAACCGUGACUUAUCACCACUUGUCUUAUUUUUCGAAGAAAAAAAAAUGUCAAUCCUAUGUGAAUUAACAUGAGUUUUUGGUAUCAAAAUUGACAUGAAAAAUGUGUUGGCAAUUAAUUCUUUAGUGAUUUUAUUGUGCGGGUUUUAUUAAUGGACCAAUUCUAAAGCUUAAAAAUUAUUUUAAUUGAUUUCUUUUUCAUAAUGAACCUACGGAUAUUAAUUAUAAAUUUGACAUUACCACAUCAAUCGUUAAAAUUAACAUUUGACAUUCAUUUUUUGACUUUUCCAUUGAAGAUGUUCCAAUUAGCUUCAAAUGCCUUCGAGUUGAACUCAUGUUUGGGUCGUUUUAGGCAUGUUCAAUCUCUACUUGCAAGUAAAAGGAGUCGGGCACGAACAUAAUAUUCAGUUCGAUACAAAGAUGAGAUAGAAUUUUAGUAUGAUCAAAAGCUCGUAAAACUCUUAACAUCCCAUAUCAUUUUAUAUUGGACAUGCAAUCAUUUGAAAGUAUAGAGCUAUGCUUAAGCACAAAUUAUAUCAUUUGAACCAAGCACCUGGUACUUGGCGCGACUCAUCAACGCAGCUCUUGCAUUUUGUCCUUUGAUUUCUUCAAUAUAAAACCAUAAAUAAAUAGAAAUGUGCAAGAUAAGACGAGUCUGAUAAGAUUUCAAUAGAAGUGUUCCAUACGAACACUGUGCCAAGCACUUUUCAGCUGUUGGAUCGACGGAAUUUUACCACUGCUAGGCUAACAAUAUAAUUUCCGUUCGAUCUCUUUCAUAAACGAAACACUAAAACAUGAAUCGAUUUAUCAAUCACCCGAUUAACAUACUCCAAGAAACAGGAAAACAAUCAGUCACAAAUUACUCGCAAAUCGCAAUUAAAACGAAAGAAAUUGAGAAAUCCGGACUAGGCUACAAGCACGUCAAGUCAAGAUCGGCAAAACAUUUAAUAAAACACCAAAUCUGUCAUAUUUUCUGACCUUCCAAAUAUUCAAGUCCAUAACAGAAUGAACAAGCUGAAAACAGCAGAUGAAAUAUGCACAAAGGGAUACACCAAACGUACCUCCAUCGCGAGAAAGAUACACUGCGUUUUGUGAUCGCAUCUACACCAAGCGCUUCGUCCGACAAAACCAUCACUACACAUAUAGGUAUAGAAAAUAUCUAGCAUAGCGUCUUCAUCUCAUUUCUCAAACAGACAAUAUUAUACAAUGACAUUCAACUGGGUGUUUGCUUCGAUGAGUUCUACAACAGACAGGAAAUCAGAUCAUCAAGCACUAAUCACUAAUGACAUCGUCUCUUGAGCAAUCUCUCUAAUUUUCUCUUUCCUUGAGUGUACAGUAUAACCUCUAUAUUCAUAUGAGAAACAAACGAAAAAAACAAAGCCUCAUCCAUAUCCCAAACACCUAAAAAUGAGCCGGUCAGAAUGUUGCAAAAAGAGAAGUUUCGGGUAUUUCAGAAAUUUUCUGAGUCGUGUCAUAACUCUCAAGUGCCAUUGGAGGGUUCUGAAAUUUCCUGAGAUUUCAUGCAUUUAGUUCAGUGUGGGGCUGAGAGCCUGAUAGAACAAGGGAGAACCAAACAUCAAGAAAGACGAGAGAGAGUGUCCUACCUGGACUUCUUGGAGGAGAGAUUCAAGUUGAGCUGUUAUAUCGGAGAAGGAAGGCCGAUUGGAAGGAACUGAAUCCCAGCAACUCUGCAUUAAUUCCAAAACCUUGGGGUGUCCAUUAUUCGGAAUUUCCGGUCUCAGCCCCUGGGAAAUAGAAUGUCAAACAAAACAUAACUAUUUAGGCACAAAAGAAUUUGGAUAAAAUACUACGCUGAGUGAACAGCCAAACCAGUUGGUAUGUACCAUUGUACAUGAUUUCAGAGGCAUAAUUUAUACUUAUUUAUAUUAUAAGCAACAAAAAUGUCAUCAGAAGAUACAGAAAUUUGUUAUUCACUAAGUUUUACCCUUUUCUUGCGUUUAUAAAAUAUAUGCCUGCUUUGUAACAGCUUUUUUUAGUUUGAAUGGGAGGAUAUUCAGACCACAGGGUUACAAACAUAAACUCAGGCACGUCAUCAAUUCAAACUUUAAUUCGACAUGUAGAAUUGUCAACAUCUGUAAGAUACACACAUGGCAGGCAACAGGACGAAACACCAUAGAGGAAAAUUUAUAAUCAAGUUGCAUGAACUGUGGAUUAACAGGAUUUCUUAAGCAGCAAAUACAAUGCGGGCUAUAGAAAACACGUCUUCAUUCAUCAAUAUUCAAUACACAGACGAACAGAUAUAAAUAAUACAUAUGUAUUAUAAAUGGAUAUACGAAUAAACAAUAAACCUGUCUAACUCCCAAGGCAGCUUGCAAUGGAGUCAUGGUAUCAUAUGGAACCUGCAAUACAAAAUCAUACGAGUUUGAAAAUAAAUAAAUAAAAAAAUCUUAAGAAGUUUGAUAAUGUCCACAUCCAAAAUUCCCAAUACACAGAGGAAGCAUACUUUGGCUGUUACUAGCUCCCAAAGUACAAUUGCGAAACUGAACACAUCUGCUUUCUGAUCAUAUGGUUGAUGGUUGAUAACCUUGCAAAAUACAAGAAACCAAUAAGAUAUUGAAAUAAGAAUGUAAAUCAAUGUCGUCAAACUACGGUGCAUCUGCUAUGGUAAUGACGCAGUAACAAAACCAGAAUGUUGACAUCCAAAAUGCAAUUAACAAAACAGGAAAUUCAAUGAACCAUAGCCUGCUUGCCAAAACAAAGGGAUAUUGAUAAUUGUUUAUGAUAAACUAAUCAAUCCAUAGAUCACAACAAAGGACCAAUUUGUGAACCAAGUCCAACGGUUUAAGAGUUGACAAUAAUUUUCACGAAGAGACAAAGCAGGAAAAAAAAAGCAGAGGAAAAUAUUGAACCAGAAGAAUCGGACCUCAGGUGCCAUCCAUCGAUAGGUUCCAGUCUCUGCUGUCAUUACUCCCUCUUGAUUCUGAAACCGAGCAACACCAAAAUCUGCCACCUUUACAACCUGAAGGCAAACAAGAAAAUGAUUUUCAACUGUAAAAGAAAAGAAAAACCUAUUUGUUUUUCCUAAACAGAAAAAUAGAAUAGCCAGGAUGUGAGAGGAGAUUUCAACCAUUUAUACUUGGAAAUCUAACCAGGAAACAGUUUACCCAUUAUCAUAAACAAAUAAUGCUGUGUUUAGCUUUGAACUUUACUUAUAGUUAUUAAAAAAUAUAAAUAUACUUGUCGAAAGUAGAAUUGCAUUACCCCACAUCUUUAAACACAAAUCUAACUUCAUCAUUCAUGACAUCCUGAAAGUAUCAAAUUCACCAUCGACAAAAACUCAGAAGACAUCAAUUCCAGUAUGUCCAUGAGAAUUUUGGUCGAAUUGAACUUUUGACAUGCAGAUAUACUUCUCCCAUAAUCAAACUUCAUACCUCAAAGCACAACGCACAAUUACCCCAUACAAAACAAUAGACGGUUUGGUUACUCAAGUCCAAUAACUACAACUUAUAUCAACUAAAGCAGCAAUAGAUCCACUGAAGACAUUAGCCCUUUUAAAAAAAUUACAAACAAAUCUAUUGAACUUUAUCGUUUUCCUGUCGCCUAAGUUAAGCUGUAUAUGUACAAUGACAAAUUAAAUCAAUAGAGUUAUCAUGAAUAUGCGUAGGUUACAUUUUGCAGAAAGUGAAGCUGCCAAACAAGCAAACAAUAACCUUUAAUUCUUACAUUGUUAGUGUCCAUUAGCAGAUUUGCCGUCUUUAGAUCCCUAUGAAUUAUGUUAUUAUGAUGCAAAUACUCCAUUCCUUUACAGACAUCAAUUGCAAACUUUAGCAGUUCUGAAAGCUUCAAGAUGUUAUGAUUCUUAUGCAAAUAAUCGUAAAGACUUCCACCGGGCAUAUACUCUGCAAAAAAUAAAAAACAAAUGAAUUUUCAUAAUUAUGGUAAUAGUACAAUACAGCAACAAGUCGGCACUGGACUAAUUAUACUCAUCUCAAACUACAAACAGAUCUAAACAGUAAAGUUUUACAUAAAGAAAUCAAGAUGAAAUCAACAAUAAAGCUCUAACCAUAAAAAGAUACCCUGCCAAAUACUAUCCCAAAAUUCUCAAGAAACAACAUCCAAAGGUAAUCCCAAAACAAAAUCUAUCCCACGAAUGAUUACAUCCUUCAACUCCUAACCUACAUGAAGCUUCAUAAUACGCACCAAGUUGCCAAAGGCUGGCUGAUUGACAAAUUACAUAUAAUAGGGAAUUCCAAUAUGCACGACAUCCAAACAGCUUAGAGGAAUUUAAAAUAUAUAACACACAAGUAAAAUCUUCCUAAAUGCUGCAUACUCAGAGAAGAAGUACUAGCGCAUCCAAAACUUAAAAGAGUAUAAAUAAUGUGUAAGUAUGUUCCAACAACAACAACAAGGCAUUUUCCCACUAAGUAGGGUAGGCUAUAUGAAUCCUAGAACGCCAUUGCGCUCGGUUCUGUGUCACAUCUUCUGUUAGAUCCAAGUACUCUUAAGUCUUUUCUUAUAGUCUGUUCCAAAGCCUUCCUAGGUCUUACUCUACCCCUUCGGCCUUAAACCUCUGUCCUGUAAUCGCAUCUAGUGUAAGUAUGUUCCAAGAAAGAUAUUUUUAGUUCCAUUAAUACUUCUCCUGAUCCUAAUAAAAAUUUUCAAAAAGAUAGAAUGAAAACUUUGGUUGGCUACACCUAUAUUGGUGGAAACCAUCCGAUGUCAUUGAUUUUUUGUAGAAUGAUAUCCUUUGGUCCAUAAAAGAUAUUUUAUGAGAUCCGUUUUGGCGAAUGGUAAAAGGGGAUAGCUUUUAAGAAGGGAAAUGUGAGUGUGUUGGGGUGGAUUUUCUCCCUUUUUAUGUUCCUUGUAAAAGAAUAUACUAUGCUUCACUAACAAAAUUAAAAAGUAAAAAAGAAAACUUAUAAACAAUCUGAUGCUUAUUCUUACUUUUCUUAGUUGCACUGCUUCUAAAAACAUCUCCACAUGUAAGAUUCUGAUACAGAAUGAACAAAACCUCGAAAGAAGCUAACUUAACAAAUAUAGUAAAUGUUGGAGGCAACCAACAGGAGAGUUCCAUACCUGUCACUAUGCACAAAUGUGGAGACUUUGUACAUGCACCGAUAAAGCGCACAACAUUACUAUGAUGGACCUCUCUGCAAUCAUAAAACAAAUAUAAUAUAUAUCAGUAUUGCUUAAUAGCAAUACGCAUGCCAACAUAACCUAUAAAAUGGAACAACAGUUUUCUUUUCCCUUGAAUAAGAGACAAUUUAUUAGUAAAGAAUAAGAUACAGAGAAGACACUAUGAAAAACUAGAAACAGCAAAAGGUGGAACCUAGCCAUGAAUUUUAACUGCCUAGAUGUGUGAAAUGCAGCAUGGGCUAGCUGCAUUUUACUUAACUAUCAGAAAAUUCAUUCACUUUAUGGGUUUCAAGAAUAGUUACAGCUAAUAUACCACAAAAUGAAAGACUAGCUGCAUUAAAUGUGAUUUUUUAAAUGACACAAUAAGACAUGUUUCUUGGUUCCAUUUGUAAUUACAUUUGGCAUAUUCUUCCAAAGCCUCGUCGAAAUAAAGACCAGCAACCUGGAUAUUCAACCAGCAAUCCUGGAUAUUCAACCAGCAAAUCCAGAAAACGUGAAGCAUUCUCUUGUCAUUCCCAGAGAUUAUAGGAAUUGUUCUUGUACAGGCUAGUAUAGAAGUUCAUUAUGGAGGAUGUUGGAAAAUAAUGGAAAAAUCUUUAAAAGUUUACAAGUGGAGAAGAGCUCUCAAUAGAAAUGAUAAGAGUGAUUUCAUAUGAACUCCCCAGCAGGGACCAGCCUAGAUUAAAAGAAGAUAAAGAUAGAAAAUUAUUCACCUUAAAAUUGCCACUUCUUGAGCAAACUCAUCCUCUAGAGCAUCAUUCAAAUGUUCAGAUCUCAAAAUCUUAACAGCAACAUCUUGACCAAGAUAAAUUCCACGAUACCUGAGAAUGAACAGUAAUAUAAAGUUAAGCAGCAGAGAAGACUAUAAACGAAUAAAGGAAUGCCAAAAAUAAAACAUAUCUUACAAAUCUCCACAUGACCCAGAUGCAAUUCUGUCUCCGAUCAUUAAUAAUCUUCGGUCUAUUUCCCAGAGUCCUGUCUUUUCUUUCACCGAUAAUUCUUUCUCCACAGCCGAAUGAGAAUGUGAAGAUCUUGACCAUGACCCCUAAAUUACCAAACAACAGAUACGUAUUACUAUCUUAUAAUUCUUCGAUUAUUUUAGCAUUGUGACGCAAUAUACCUCACUUCUAGCAAUUGCCUUUUCCAUAGCUUCAUACAGACCAUCUGUAUCCUGACCACAACAUUGCAAAGUCAGCAACAUUUGAACUCAGCACAGUUGUCAUAAAAUUAAUAUAAUCACAAUUCCCCUUAAUGUAUUCUGAAGACAUUUUCUUGGAGGAACUGUAGCUUUUUCGACUUGUCCAAUUUGAUAAAACCCAAUAUUUAUAACAAACAUAUUGGGAUGCAUUAGAUCCAAUAAUUGUAGCAAUGCCAUAUUACAGCCCAGAGAUAAACACUGACUAAAAAGCGUUCAUCCAUGCAUAAAAAGAGAAAGCACAUAAACAGCUUGCAGUAUAGCAAAAUCCAUAGCCAACAAAAAUAAGCAUAUUGUAGUAGCAAUGUACCACAUAUUUUAAGAAAGGCCAUCCAACGUUUCGUGUAUUGGAAAUUACUCAUUUAUAAUAUAAUAACAUGCAAAAUUUCAAGAUUCAAAACUCUGACAGUAGAAAGUAAUCUGUGAAUGACGAUAAACACAUUAUAUAGUAAAAGAAAACUACCUCAACAGGCCAUCCAUCUACCACAAAUACAUCUAAAGAGUAGCCAUCGCUCGUCGAGAAGACAUGUGCUUCACGGAUGUUAAGUUCCAAAUCCGAAAGCAAGGAAGAAAGCUACAGAAUGAUGACAUAAGUUAGAAAGAUGCGACCACAGUAUGGUUACACUUCUGCAGUUAUCUUGGAUUCUACAACAUAAACAAUGCAUAUAAUAUGUAUCAAAUGUACUGAAUAGUCCAUUGCUACCUUUAAAUUCAUUUUCCAAUUGAAUUUGAAGGCUAUAGAUUUUCAACUUUAUAUUAAUGAAAGAAAUCAUAAUGAAAAAGAACUCUUCCAAUACAACGUCUUCUCACAAUUAUAUUUAAUACCCAAGCUUACUGCAUUGAGGUGCCAGCGUGUGAGGUCUAGACACUAGAGUUGACACAAAACAUCAGAUGGAGAACCAUAAAACAUGAAUGACGGACCAUCACAGUGUCACAUGAAAACAAAGAUAGUUGCUUGAGUUAUAAACAUUAGGUAUUGAACACACAUUCAUAUUAGUGAGUACCAAGAGAACUGCUUAAGUGGAGACAGAGUAUUACAGGAUAAUGAAGCUAUCAAAUGAUGUCAAAUUUCAAUACCCUUUAACAUUGAAGAAAUUAUGUACAUGUGGACACUAAAACUACAGAAAUACUAUCACUUGAUGCUAUUCAAUCAGAUGAUCCUUUUGAUUAUUAAUUGAAAAAAGGAAUGCUGAAUCCAACUUCAUGAUCCAGAAUGUAAGUGCAAUAUCAGAUAAGUUUGUCCACUAUCCUAUCAUACUAAUCUUAUAUGACCCCUUUGAGAUAUAACUCGUUGAACAGUUGAACUUAGUUUACCAAAUAGACCUUCAGCUUUAAUUUGCAAACACGUAAGGGAACAAUCAGCAGAUUUUCGGGCUUCAAACUCUGAUUUCUUUUCAGAUUCUAAGAAUAUUUUGAAACUGAGAUCGAGGUAAACUCCAGGUGGUAAUACCAAACUUGACAACAAACGAAUAAAUUAAACCUUCUCAGUCAUACCUGGCUAAGAAGCUUAGGCUUGUCAAUAGUUGAAAAUAUUACUUCAUGAAUGGGAACAUGUGGUAUAUCUUGCCUGCGUUAUACAGCCCAAUGGUCAAUAUCAUUUCUGCAUAAUUAUACAUGUUUUUUCUUUAAAUGAGAAACAAAGUUUUACUAAAGAUACUCAAAAACACAGUACAAGACUCUGAACAAACUGGUCCACCAACAAAAUGAUUCAACUAAUGAAAAACAAAUCUGAAUUACACCUAUGACAAUGUAAUGGAACUUUCAAAAUUACCCUAUAAGAGCUUCCCAAUCUAAUAAGAUGUUAGAAAUUGGUAGAUCCCUAAAGGGUGGAGAAAAACAAGCUGAUAAGCAUAAAUGUGAUCUCUCAAAUAUACGGGCACAGUUCAUAUAAAAACUGCACAAUUAAAAUAUAAAGUAUAUGAAAAAGACCCGGAUAAAGGAGGAGGGGGAGGGCGUCAGGUAGUCGACAGCCGGCACUCCAUGAUCACGUCGAAUCCUUAUGAAAAUGAAUCCAGAACAAAAUCGCGCUAAAGCUAGGGCGUCACCCGUAAGUGGCGCGCUGUGUGGCCUGAGCACAGUGAUAAGUGAGCAAGGGUCGCUGUAUCUCCAUCGGCACCCGGAUGCAGUGUUAAAUGAGCAAGGGGGCCAUAGAAACUUCUUUUCGAACGACUCCACUCAAAGUUGUUUGGGAGCAUAUGCUCCUAUCAACUUUACCCGGGACACACAAAAGAAGUACUUUGAUCCUAUUAGACGGGGGAGGGUGAAGAAGCUAGGACAGAAGGGUAGAGUUCAAGAGAGCAAAAUGCGUUUAGGAACGUGGAAUAUAGGAACCUUAACGGGAAAAUCUAUGGAAGUAGUGGAAGUUAUGGUGAGGAGAAGGAUAAAUAUUAUGUGCCUACAAGAAACUAAGUGGGUUGGUAGUAAGGCAAAGGAUCUAGAAAACUCAGGGUUUAAACUUUGGUAUUCGGCACAAAUAGAACGAGAAACGGUGUUGGCAUCAUCGUGGACAAGACCUUGGUACAAGAUGUUGUAGAUGUCAAGAGGGUAGGAGAUAGAAUCAUGGCAAUCAAGAUUGUAAUAGGACAAGAACUUAUCAAUGUGAUUAGUGCGUACGCACCUCAAGUAGGGUUGGAUACGAGUUCGAAGGAGAAAUUUUGGGAAGAUCUUGGAGACUUGGUGCAAGGAAUUGCUCAGACGGAGAAGUUAUUUAUAGGAGGAGAUUUAAAUGGACACGUGGGCAGGGAGACAGGCAACUAUGGAGGUUUUCAUGGUGGCCAUGGUUUUGGGGAGAGAAACGAGGAUGGGGAAGCUAUCUUGGAUUUUGCAAUGGCAUAUGAUCUCUUCUUAGCCAACACCUUCUUUAAGAAGAGAGAAGAACAUGUGAUCACCUACAAGAGUGGGUCGUCAAAAACACAAAUAGAUUUUCUUCUAAUGAGGAAAGGGGAUCGUAUAACUUGUAAGGAUUGCAAAGUUAUACCAGGAGAGAGCGUGGCUAAUCAACAUCGCUUGUUGGUGAUGGAUGUACAUAUCAAAAGAGUAAGACAAAAGAACAAGACUUGGAAGUGCCCAAGGACUAGAUGGUGGAAUCUAAAAGAAGAAAAACAAGCCAUUUUCAAAGAGAAGGUAAUCACCCAAUGUGUGUGGGAUAGAGAGGGGGAAGCUAGCCAAAUGUGGGAUUCCAUGGCUAGUUGUAUCCGAAAAGUAGCAAAAGAGGUAUUAGGAGAGUCCAAGGGCUUUGCCCCACACCAAAAGGAAUCUUGGUGGUGGAAUGAGGAGGUACAAACAAAGGUGAAGGCUAAGAAGGAAUGUUGUAAAGCCUUAUACAAGGAGAGGACUGAUGAAAAUGGUGAAAGGUAUAGAAAAGCGAAGCAAGAGGCGAAGAAAGCUGUCAGAGAAGCUAAGUUAGCGGCUUACGACGAUAUGUAUAAACGACUAGAUACCAAAGAAGGAGAGUUGGAUAUCUAUAAACUAUCUAGAGCAAGGGAAAAAAGAAGACAAGGGACCUAAACCAAGUGAGGUGCAUCAAGGAUGAGGAUGGAAAGGUUCUUGCUACAGAGAACGCGGUUAAAGACAGAUGGAGAGGUUAUUUUCAUAAUCUUUUCAAUGAAGGACAUGAAAUGAGUGCUUCUUUAGGGGAGUUGAGUAACUCAGAAGAGUGUAGAAACUACUCUUUUUAUCGUCGAAUCCGGAAGGAAGAAGUGGUUGUAGCUUUGAAGAAGAUGAAGCAUAAAAAAGCAAUAGGCCCAGACGAUAUACCAAUCGAAGUGUGGAAACUUUUGGGAGAGACAGGUAUAACAUGGCUCACUGACCUUUUCAAUAGGAUUUUGAAAACGAAGAAGAUGCCAAAUGAGUGGCGAAUGAGCACUUUGGUGCCUAUCUACAAGAAUAAGGGCGACGUACAAAAUUGCAUGAACUAUAGGGGUAUUAAGCUAAUGAGUCAUACAAUGAAGCUCUGGGAGAGAGUCAUUGAGCAUAGAUUGAGGCAAGAGACACGGGUUUCGGACAACCAAUUCGGGUUCAUGCCAGGGCGCUCAACCAUGGAGGCAAUCUAUCUCUUACGAAGAUUGAUGGAAAUAUAUAGAGAUGGGAAAAAGGAUUUACACAUGGUCUUUAUAGAUUUGGAAAAAAGCGUAUGAUAGGGUCCCAAGAGACAUUCUUUGGAGGAUUUUAGAGAAGAAAGGAGUAGUACGAGUAGCAUAUAUCCAAGCUAUAAAGGAUAUGUAUGAAGGAGCAAAGACUGCCGUAAGAACUCAUGAAGGACAAACCGAAAGCUUUCCCAUAACUGUAGGAUUACAUCAAGGCUCAUCCUUAAGUCCUUACCUUUUUGCGUUGGUAAUGGAUGAGUUAACACGACAUAUUCAAGAUGAUAUUCCUUGGUGUAUGCUUUUCGCAGACGAUAUAGUGUUGAUAGAUGAAACUCAGGAAGGGGUAAAUGCAAAGCUUAACCUUUGGAGAGAAGUGUUGGAAUCUAAAGGUCUUCGCCUAAGCCGAUCAAAGACAGAAUAUAUGGAGUGCAAGUUCAGUGCAAAUGGAGGCCAAAACGAGUUAGGGGUGAGGAUCGGAGAUCAAGAAAUACCAAAGAGCGACCGUUUUCGUUACCUAGGAUCUAUCUUUGCAAAAGAACGGAGAAUUAGAUGGAGAUCUCAACCAUAGAAUACAAGCUGGAUGGAUGAAGUGGAAGAGUGCAUCCGGCGUGUUGUGUGACCGCCGUAUGCCACUGAAGCUCAAGGGAAAAUUUUAUAGGACGGCAAUAAGGCCGGCGAUGCUGUAUGGCACAGAAUGUUGGGCGGUGAAACAUCAACACGUACACAAAAUGGGUGUAGCGGAGAUGAGGAUGCUUCGUUGGAUGUGUGGGCACACGAGAAAGGAUAAGAUUAGGAAUGAGGAUAUCCGGGGUAAAGUAGGAGUAGCCGAAAUUGAAGGAAAGAUGAGAGAAAAUCGGUUACGGUGGUUUGGACAUGUGCAAAGAAGGCCUACUGACGCUCCGAUUAGAAGAUGCGACUAUGGGACAGAGGUUCAGGGCCGAAGGGGUAGAGGAAGACCUAGGAAAACUUUGGAAGAGACUCUAAGAAAAGACUUAGAGUACUUGGAUCUAACGAAGGAGGACAUGACACAGGAUCGAGCACAAUGGCGUUCUAAGAUUCAUAUAGCCGAUCCCACUCAGUGACUUGGAUUUUCCAAGUCUCCAACCGAGAAGUUUUCCUCACUCGGGAAAUUAAGGGAACACUACCCCAACCUACAUGCUCCACUCAGAAAGCUUCAACAUACAAGCUUCAACAAAAGAAAAUUCAAAGAACUUAGCGAAGAAGGCUUUGGUGUAUUUAACACAAUACGUUGAAAUGAAGGAAAGCUUAUUUAUUGAUAUCCCCGAUAAGCUACAAAUAUGUACAUAUACAUGAGUCAAAAUAAACACAAGAGGGAGCCUUCACAAAGGUUGCUUAGGAGAAGUCUCAGCAGUCGGUAGAGCCCCAGAAAGAGAAGGCACCGGAGGGGGAUCAUUUGGAGCCUCAGUACUGGACAGAACCCUAGAAGGAGGAGGCAUCAGAGGUUGAUCAUUUGGAGCUUCAUUACGCGGUACAGCCCCAGAAGACGAAGGCAAUAAAUGCCUUUGGAACAAACCCACAAAUCUCUGAUGAUCAAGUAAAACCUGACCAUCAGUUUCCUUCAUCUGGUCAAGCUUCCUCUUCAUGUUUGUAGCAUAGUCAUGUGCGAGCCGGUGCAACUGUUUAUUCUCAUGCUUGAGCCCUCUAAUCUCCUGUUUGAGACUCAUCACUUCAGCCGCCAAUGAUUCAACUUGGCGGGUUCGAGCAAAUAGGCGUUGGGCCAUAUUAGACACAGAACCUGCACACUGAACACUGAGAGCCAGCGAAUCCUUAACAGCUAACUCAUCAGACCGUUUGGAAAGUAGUCUGUUAUCUUUGGGAGUGAGAAGGUUCCUGGCCACCACCGCAGCGGUCAUAUCAUUCUUCAUCACGGAAUCCCCAACGGUAAGAGGACCAGUAGGGGAGACGAAGGAUGGGCGCCAUAUGUUGUCUGGAGAAGGCGGGGCUGCCUCUUCAACAAGGUUCAAGUCAAAACGACGGUCGGAGGGGCCAGACAUUUUCAAAGGUGUUGAAGAGAGAAGAGGUCGGACAAAUCAAGAUCUUAGAAGUGCAAGAAUGAAGCUUCUACUGGUGGAGAUUCAAGUGUGCUUUGGAACUUAAUGCCAGCCCCUAUAUAAAAAUCUGCACUCGACGAAGCUUUAGAAAUCGAAGAGGCGCCUGCUCAGAAAUCGAAGAGGCGUUUGCUUUCUCAAAAGCUGGGCUGCUUAGAGAUCACGAGGGUUGAUCUCAGAAAUCGAAGAGGUGUUUGCUUUCUCAAAAGUUAGGCUGCUCAAAGACCACGAAGGCCGAUCUCAAAAAUCGAAGAGGCGCUCGCUUUCUCAAAAGCUGGGCUCCCCAGAGACCACGGGGGCCGAUAUCAGAAAUCGAAGAGGCACCUACUUUUCCAGCCUUUUCCAGCCUUGUCAGCACCUGUCACACGCACACUCAGUUUUGCGGAAAUUAUGGGCAUUCUGUCAAAGACUUCUGGGGAAGUAGAAAACACAUGAAUCUUACUGUUCAAUCACCCACUUCCCACACGCAACAAUAGCUCAUGGGUACCACAGAUAACUUUGCCAAAGUUCUCUGCCAAAGUUGAGCACGUGAAGCUUGCAGCUCCUACUACAUCGCUCUGACCAAGAAGGGUAAAAGAAUAGCAAAGAAACAGCACUAACAAAGUUUAGACCCAUAAAUUUUGAAGGUCUAGCUACCAUAUUAUUACCCACAAGGGUAAAGGAACAGUACCACUGCUGGAUAAUUGGAAAGUCCCUGUGUGUCAACCUCUGUGCUUCGUGGCAAGGUAGACUAGCAAACAUGCCCAACCUUUACUCACAUUCGAGAAAACACUCCCAAUAAGAUUGCUUGCUCCAAAAUCGAAGAGGCACCGUCCUCCGAAUCUCGAGAGCCAGACUCCCAACAUGACUACUUUCUUAAAAAUCGAAGAGAGAGGGUAAAGGAACAGUACCAUUGCUGGAUAAUUGGAAAGUCCCUGUGUGUCAACCUCUGUGCUUCGUGGCAAGGUAGACUAGCAAACAUGCCCAACCUUUACUCACAUUCGAGAAAAACACUCCCAACAAGAUUGCUUGCUCCAAAAUCGAAGAGGCACCGCCCUCCGAAUCUCGAGAGCCAGACUCCCAACAUGAUUACUUUCUCAAAAAUCGAAGAGACACUGCUCCCCGAAUCUCGAGAGCCAGACCCCCAGCAUGAUUGCUUUUUCAAAAAUCGAUGAGGCAUCGUUCUCCGAAUCAAUCGAAGAGGCGCUCGCUUUCUCAAAAGCUGGGCUGCUCAGAGACCACGAGGGCCGAUCUCAGAAAUCGAAGAGGCACCUACUUUUCUAGCCUUGUCAGCACCUGUCACACGCACACUCAGCUUUGCAGAAAUUAUGGGCAUUCUGUCGAAGACUUCUGGUGAAGUAGAAAGCACAUGAAUCUUACUGUUCAAUCACCCACUUCCCACACGCAACAAUAGCUCAUGGGUACCACAAAUAACUUUGCCAAAGUUCUCUGCCAAAGUUGAGCACGUGAAGCUUGCAGCUCCCACUACAUCGCUCUGACCAAGAAAGGUAAAAGAAUAGCAAAGAAACAGCACUAACAAAAGUUUAGACACAUAAAUUUUUGAAGGUCUAGCUACCAUAUUAUUACCCACAACUGUAAAGGAACAGUACCACUGCUGGAUAAUUGGAAAGUCCAUGUGUGUCAACCUCUGUGCUUCGUGGCAAGGUAGACUAGCAAACAUGCCCAACCUUUACUCACAUUCGAGAAAACACUCCCAAUAAGAUUGCUUGCUCCAAAAUCGAAGAGGCACCGACCUCCGAAUCUCGAGAGCCAGACUCCCAACAUGAAUACUUACUCAAAAUCGAAGAGAGGGUAAAGGAACAGUACCAUUGCUGGAUAAUUGGAAAGUCCCUGUGUGUCAACCUUUGUGCUUCGUGGCAAGGUAGACUAGCAAACAUGCCCAACCUUUACUCACAUUCGAGACAACACUCCCAACAAGAUUGCUUGCUCCAAAAUCGAAGAGGCACCGCCCUCCGAAUCUCGAGAGCCAGACUCCCAACAUGAUUACUUCCUCAAAAAUCGAAGAGACACUGCUCUCCGAAUCUCGAGAGUCAUACCCCCAGCAUGAUUGCUUUCUCAAAAAUCGAAGAGGCAUCGUUCUCCGAAUCUCGAGAGCCAGAUACCACAGACCACUUUUUCAAAGUGCUCUGACAGAGUUAAAACAUGUGAAACUGGCAGCUCCCACUACCGUGCUAUGACCAAGCAGGGUAAAGGAAUAGCAUUACUACUUGUUGUUAGGGAGACUCCUAUAUAUGUCGACCUCCAUCCCCAACGGACAGGCAGACCUGCAAAAAUGCUCAACCCUUCAUCAUAUCUGAGAGGGCACUCCCAACGAAGCCUUUCGAAAUAUUCAGCUUUCUUUCCCCCCGAUAAUACCUCUGCAAACAAGCUAUACUAGAGCAAGAAUAUCUCAUAUCAUCAGGGUUAAAAGCAAGAGUAUCCCAUAUCAUGCUUUUUCCCUGUCUUUUCUUUUUGGCCUUGUUUUUACCUGCAAGACAAGGAGAAAGAGAGCAAUCAGUCAGCACUUGGAAUCAAGCUUCCAGCCAGGAACUGACUGCCUGGAACCCCUUACCUGAUUACUUACCUGGCAUUGCUCUCGAGUACUCAUCUUCAACAUCUUAUGUUUCCAGGGAAGAUUCCGCAUCUGCUUGAGGAACAGAUAGGGCAAGUGCGAAGGAUACAAGGAAGCAUGUGGAGACAAGCGUAACAGCACACGUGCCGAUACAUUCAUUACUCUGUCAAAAGCAAAAGUAUCCCAUAUCAGCAGGGUGGAACGUACUCUAGAUUUGAUGGACUUGUUUUGACCCUCAAAUUCUUCAGUCGGCCUUAUACUCUGGAGAAAACCAGAAAACCCUCCAGCUCAGUUCAAGAAUAAGCCUGUGGAAAGUUACUUCUUCAAAAGCAAAAGUAUCUCAUAUCAUCUCUUCUCAUUUUUCUUCUCUUUUAUCCUUCAUGCUGCUGCAAGAUGGGGAGAAGGUGAACAAUCAGUCGGAGCUCUGAUUGCUUACCUUGUCUGUCACCUCUUUCAGCAGACCCCUAGCUCGGCGACUUGGGGGACUCCUACUACAUGGUUUGUAUCGCGCUUGACCAAGCCUGAAACUACAAGUAAGCUUCAAGUGAAAUUGAUACAUUACCUUGUGCAUCUCCACCAGUUAAAGAUAUCCACCCCUGGAUGGAGGAAGAGUACUUCCAGAGAAGAUGCCACAUCUACCUAUGAGACAGAUAAGGCAAGUCAAGACGACACCACACUCCGAUACUUAGAAGUUUCGUGAUUACGAGAUCAUUCUCCCACAAUAUUUCCUAAUGUCAUUUGUACUAAAAUCAUUCACUUGUACUCACUAAAUGAGAGCUUGAACCUAUGUACUUGUGUAAACCCUUCACAAUUAAUGAGAACUCUUCUAUUCCGUGGACGUAGCCAAUCUGGGUGAACCACGUACAUCUUGUGUUUGCUUUCCUAUCUCUAUCCAUUUAUAUACUUAUCCACACUAAUGACCGGAGCAAUCUAGCGAAGAUCAUAAAAAGCGAUCGUUUUCGCUACCUAGGAUCUAUCUUGCAAGAGAACGGAGAAUUAGAUGGAGAUCUCAACCAUAGAAUACGAGCUGGAUGGAAAGAGUGCAUCCGGCGUGUUGUGUGACCGUCGUAGGCCACUGAAGCUCAAGGGAAAAUUUUAUAGGACGGCAAUAAGGCUAGCGAUGUUGUAUGGCACAGAAUGUUGGGUGGUGAAGCAUCAACACGUACACAAAAUGGGUGUAGCGGAGAUGAGGAUGCUUCGUGGGAUGUGUGGGCACACGAGAAAAGGAUAAGAUUGGGAAUGAGGAUAUCCGAGGUAAAGUAGGAGUAGCUGAAAUUGUAGGAAAGAUGAGAGAAAAUCGGCUCCGGUGAUUUUGAACAUGUGCAAAGAAGGCCGACUGACGCUCCGGUUCGAAGAUGUGACUACGGGACAGAGGUUCAGGGCCGAAGGGGUAGAGGAAGACCUAGGACAACUUUGGAAGAGACUCUAAGAAAAGACUUAGAGUACUUGGAUCUAACGGAGGACAUGACACAAAACCGAACGCAAUGGCGUUCUAGGAUUCAUAUAGCCGACCCCACUUAGUGGGAAAAGGCUUUGUUGUUGUUGUUGUUGUUGUUGUUGAUUAAGCAUUAAUAUCAGCAUAAAGAAAAAUUAUUUUCUAUUUUUAAUUUGGAAAAUAAGACCUUUAGCAUAUUACUUCAUAAAUAUGUGUAUUUACUAUUUAUGCGUGCAUGCAUAUGUUUGUCUUUAUACAAUUUCAUGAUCACAUUGUACACUUCUAUGUAUCAUGUCUACCCUUUAUACACAUGAAAUAUCAUAUACAGUAAUUGCUUGUCAACACAUUCAUUAGAGCUUUACAAAUCGUUUAUCUAAUUUCUGUUUGAUAAGAUACAACAAAUUUAUCAGAAUAAAAUUUUGAUAAAAAUAGUGCACAUUAAAGCAAGAAGAAAGUAAGUUUUAAACAAGUGUCUUCCAACCUAUAGAAAGAGGGCUUCUCAAAAUUCCACCCAAAACUUUAACACUGAAAGCCUAUAAUAAGGCAACAUACAUUAUUCUACCCCUAAUUGCUACAAAUUCUUGAUGCUUGACCCAUAGCAAUUUUUCAGUGUGCAUCUCAAUAUUAACUUAGUCUUCAUCAUCCCAAGUCCUCAAAAAUGUAUACGCAAAAUAUGAGAAGUCAAAUGAAGCAAAACAAUAACUAACUUCGCUGCACAUAACAAUCUGCUCCAUAACUUAACCAAUGCAUAUGUUCAUCCAAAAGAAAAUGAUGCAUCUAUUCACCAUUCUUUCUACUGUUAAUUCACCAUUUACGAUAUAAAGAAAGGUCUGACUCACCUUCGAAGAAAAUUACUAGUGCUAAAUUUUUCAUAAGCUUUGCCCAAGGUAAAAGUUAACUUUCCUAGGAACCAGUGGAUUCCAUUAAAUCUUUAGGAAAAAAACUGAUAGAGUGACAACCAAUCAACCUUCAGAAUAAAGAGUUCCUACAAAAGAGUUCCUCAAAAUAAUUAGGGACCAAAGCCAUUAUGACUUGUUGCUCUUGAUAUGCAAUGGGUUUCUAUUGAGCACUUUCAUUUUGGGUAUUGUUGGUUAGAGACCAAAAGCUUGCAGCUCACUAAGAUAAAGUAAACGAGUAAACCAAUAUAUUGGUGGCAAUUGAUGUAUCAAAUGGUAAGAAUUAAUCUGACAAUGUGAAAAGGAUGGUGAUUUUCACACCCCAUUUACCUCCCGCACACUCUUUCGAUUUUUUAAUAUCUUUUUGCUCUUCCAUCACUUUGUCUUUAUUUUAGAGGUGGGCCUUCACCAAGAGCAAACAAAUAUUAAAAUUUUGAAAAUGUGUGGGAAGUAACAUGGGGUGUGAGAAAAUCACCACCCAUGUGAAAAAAUUAAAAAUCUUGUUAUAAUGAACCCAGUAGUGCUUAUUCUAGAACAGAAAACAAGCCAACAAACUUUGGUUGAGUACCUUGUGGGAGAAUCCUUGGUCAGAUGUCUUCCGUCCAUAUCCUUAGCAUUCUUUCUAACAUCCAAAUUUAGGUCCCCGAGCUUAGAGCAAGGUUCAAAGUCAGCCGCACAAUUCCUAGUUUUACUCAGAGAAAUGAUAUAAAUAAAUGACAACCAAAAAAGGUCCACAGAUCAAUAUCCAGAGUCACCGAAACCCUUGUUGGGAAAAACUACGGCAAAAAGUUUAAGCACUCAGAGACAAAGUACAACACAGAUAUAAUAUGGUUAUUACCUAUCAUGUGACAGAGUAGCUCCUUCACUAGUUUCAUCACAUGAUGACCUUGGGGUUGAAACAACACUUGUACAUUGUUGAACAUCAUCAUCUUCGUCGUCUGUCCCCAUAGAAGUAUUCUGAUCAUAAGUACAUAAAAUGAUGAACAUAAGAGGAACUUAAUGAUAAAUAAAAGGGUAAAUCGCCAAAAUGGUCCCUGAGAUUUGCAUAACUUAUCACUUUGGUCCCCAAGAUUCCAAAUCGAUAAAAGUGGUCCCUGAGAUUGUCCACCAUCCAUCAUUUUGGUCCUUCCGUUAAGUGUCCCAGAGCUCUUGGCCAGAAGUUUGGGCAAUUUUCAAAGCUUCGUAACUCAAUCGUUUCUUAACCAAAUUCGAUCCAUAAUAUAUCAAAAUGAAGAUAGGAAAGUGUAGAAUAAGAUUAUACCUAUUUCGAAGCCCAAUGGUUGCCGGAGAUGGCCGGAAAAUAGCCUCAAAGUUGACUGGUCCGAGCGAAAACUUGAAAACUCGCCGGAAACUGGGUAAACUUUAAACGUUCGUAACUUCUUCAAUACUCAACGAAAUCAAGUGAUUCAAAAACGAAAAUCAUACUUCUCGAUGAGACAAAGAGAAUGGUCUAGGUACCAUUCUCUUUGUCUUGUCGAGAAGUAUUUCUCUUUGUCUCGUCGAGAAGUAUAAUUUUCGUUUUUGAAUCACUUGAUUUCGUUGAGUAUUGAAGAAAUUACGAACGUUUAAAGUUUACCCAAUUUCCGGCGAGUUUUCAAGUUUUCGCUUGGACCAGUCAACUUUGAGGCUAUUUUCCGGCCAUCUCCGACAACCAUUGGGCUUCGAAAUAGGUAUAAUCUUAUUCUACACUUUCCUAUCUUCAUUUUGAUAUAUUAUGGGUCGAAUUUGGUUAAGAAACGAUUGAGUUCCGAAGCUUUGAAAAUUGCCCAAACUUCCGGUCAAGAGCUCCGGGACACUUAACGGAGUUUUUAAUGGAAAAUGAUGGAUGGUGGACAAUCUCAAGGACCACUUUUAUUGAUUUGGAAUCUCAGGAACCAAAGUAAUGAGUUAUGCAAAUCUCAAGGACCAUUUUGGCGAUUUAGCCUAAAUAAAAUAGAAGGGGAAAAAAGAACUAAUGUCACAUUGGAACACCACACCACCAAAGUUUCUCAUGCUUUACAAGAUUCUGUAAGAUCUUAUUUUCAAGUGUAGUCAAGGCUUCUUUAGGUAAAGUGACAGUCAGUACAUGCAACAGGAUUCAUACAUUACUACACAUCGUGAUUGAUCCAUAUCCUGGUCAACAACAUUGUGAUAUCACAGUUCCAACAUUUUUUCCCAGAACCCCACAAUGUUUCCAAUAAAACAGCUAGUAAGAAAAUCCGAAUCAGACUAAAAGAAGGUAUAGUUGAAAUGCUAAUUAAUGAUAAUAACACGUAAAUAUCUAUCUGACGUAAUGACUUUUAAUUUUACUCUAAGAGACUAACCAUGUGGAGAAUCUUAUUGAAAGAAACUUGUAAUGACUUUUAAUUUCAAUCUAAGAGACUAACCAUGUGGAGAAUCUUAUUGAAAGAAACUUGUAUCAUUAAUUUAUCAAAGCAAUAUUAUUUCUGAGGUUAAGACUAAGGGCCUAGGUAAGGGAACUUUUGUUGAGUACUAACAUAGUGAAUAUCACAAGCAAAACUAGUGCGAAAAAUAGUCACCAAUUCGAGAUAAAUUUUUUAAAUGAACCUACAAGAGUUACAGUGAAUGUGCUAUAAAAAGGUUAGAUUAGAAUUUGGUUUUUAAGAACUUCACAUAGGCUGUCUCGUACACUUGUGAUGUAGACUCAAGUUUUCAAACCCAAAGCGCACAAGUUUGCAUUAAUAGGCAAGGAAUUUAUAGUCCUACAUAUUGGAACUUGAAAUCAUGCACCAACUUUAUCUUCUUCUUCUCGACUGAAGCCCUUUACCUAGUGCAAGCCAGAGACAAAAUAAAGUAGUAGUACUGAACCAUUUGUGUUACUUAUAACCUUCUUCUUCUCCGUUGAAACCACUGCUCUAUACCUUUUAAGGAUAACAUUUUCCCAAUUAUUCCAUCAUUUCUCAAAGCUAACCAUGGUUAGGGACAUUAUGAGUCAGAGUAAUUAUCAAGGAAGUCAUUGAUACCCCAUCCUUCUUUCCCACUCGCGAUUACUACAUAUAUGAACCUUUUGUGGCUUUAAAAGGAAAUAUAGUAUUCAUCCAAAUAAUUUAAAUUUUUUCUGGAAAAUAAUGAUUACGUGAAUGCAAGUUGUUGCAAACAAUCUAAAACGUGGCUUUUUAUAACAACAGGAAAUAAACUAAUACUUGGUUUAGCACUGGGACUCAAAGAAACUCUAGUUCAGAACAAGAUUCCAAACAUAAAAUACUGAAGCAAAUGAUGCGGAAUACCUCCAUGAAACGGAUAUGAUACACGGGCCGCUUCUCAGGGUCUUUUGCCAAUGCAAGAAGCUUUUGAUGUAACAAGACAUCUUCCACUCUAUCCAAGUUAACAUCAAGUCCGUAACUGCGCAGAAAACAAAAUUAGUAAAAUAAAUAAAUAAUGUAGAAUUCAUAGAAUUAGGUUCAUCAUCCUCCACAUCUAAAGAAAAAUGAAACAUUCAUGCUAUGGCUCUUAUGAAGUUUUACAGUGGAAAAUAUCUUGGAAAAUAUAGUGAAUACUUUUCCCAGUAAGGUUUUAAACAAAGCUUCAACAUAACAUAAGGUCUGGAAAGGUUGGCCUUGAAAUAACAUUUCUUGACAGACCUAAGGAAAAUUUUGUGCCUCCUGGAAAGGUACUUCCAAAAAGAAUUGACUGCGAAGUGCGGAACUAAUUUCAGUCCAUACACACAUUGCAGAGUUUCAAUUGUAAACCUUUACACUAGUCACAUGGUCAAACCGACCAACUCUUACAGAAAUAAUAGGCAAGAAAACAACACUCAAACAGCACUGCCAGCUCAAAAAAUAAUCAGGUCCAUACAGAACAAAUAUUAGAUCACAUAACCAAUUUGAUAUUCAAACAUAUGCAUAAACUUAUUCGUGCUCAAACAUUAAAAACUUCACUGAUACUGCUCCGAAAGCAUAUUAACUCAAGAAAUCAAUCAUGUUGGGAUCAUCAUUUGAGACUCUAAGAGCUUCAUAAGGGUUCGUACUUCAAUAAUACGGUUCGUACCAUAAUACACCAAUCCCAAAACUACGGAGCACUGGUUAACCAAAUAUCUUCGAAGACCUACUGAAGGGUUCAUGUUGAGACACCCCUACCUAAGCACAUGAGUUUCUCUCCAACCAGGAGCCCAAUCACAAUGCUAAAGCUUCUAAAGUCCCACAUCAACCACAGACGAAAUAGGCAAUUCUCCUCAACUAUAAAAGGAGAUUGUUCUCCCACAAUUGAUCCCUGAUGAUCUUAUUUUGCUUAAUCCACUAUUAGAACUCACUAAGUAAUGAUUCUGUCUAAAUCCUUGUAUCAUGUAAACUCUCUCUACAUUAUUUAUGAGAACUCCUCCAUCCGACGUAGCCCAAUUUAAGGUGAACCAUGUAUGAUUGCUGCCCUUUUAUCCCUUAACUCUGUACAUACUCUCAUCACUAGGUGACCGAAGCAACUUAGCAAGGAUCGCAUAUUGACACUCUACGUUAUUCCAAAGUCAACCCAGUUUUGUGCAUCAACAAAUACAAUAAUGUUUUGUUCUGAAAAAACUAAUUCCAGAAAUAAAUCAAUGGCGGAAGUUCGUUAAAAUUAAAGAAUAAAAAGAAAUGAAAUGAAAAACAAUCUUAUAGAGGAAAGCGAUCGAAGGGGAAUACCUAGGCGGCAAGCGGUUGAAGUGACCGUCCAACUGUUCACGGAAUUCGGGCAGAGUCAGAGCGUCUUCAUGGCCGCUCUCCACCAAGCGGUUGUAGACAUCGUUUCGGACAUCGUAGUUACUGAAGCUGACGAAGCUUCUCGGCGGCGACGAGCUCUCUCCGACGCCCUCGGUCAAAUCCAUAGGGGAAGCUCAAGUCAGCAGGUUUUCCACGAAAAUACAGAAGAGAAGGAGGAGAAAGCGAGCUCGGAGAGUUGUCAAUGAUAAGCAGAGGAUCUUUGACUGUUGGUGGAAUCCGGGAAGAAGACGAGGAUCUGUUGGGGAUUUCGGGCGGAAAGCAGAGGGCAAUUUCGUCAUACAAAAUCACUGUAGCAUCGUGAAGUUUCUCGAGAGCGAAGGCUAGUUUGGAGGAGAGAAUGUCAUGGUUGGAGUGAGUGAGUAGAGAGACAAAAGAAGACCUCCGUCUCAGCAAGAGAAAACUUUUUCCAUUUUUUAAUUUUUUUUUUAUAUAUAUUAUAUAUCAAAUAAUGUGGAUUGGAUAUGGUUGAAAAUGUGGGACAAUAUAAUAAUGUUUUGUAGUUAAGAAAACGCCUCGGUUUUUGAUAGAUUUUUUUUCAAUGUGAUCGUAUAUACGAAACGGUAUGUUAUAUGUUGUUGUUAAAGUAAAAUAAAAUUUUAUUUUAAAUUUAUUCUCUUAACUUAUAUAAUAAUUUAUGAUAUAUGUAACCGCGUUUUGGAUAUAUUGAAAAACCACUCUUAAAUUUUGGGCACAAUUUCAUGUGAGUCACAUCAUGUUGUAUAGGAGAAAAUAUGGCCUGCUGUUUACAAGUAAUCACAUAAAAAAGCUCAUACCAUAAUUAUGACGCAAUUGUAUAUUUAUUCUUUCUCUAAUAAUGGAUUCUCAUUUUGUAGAGAGGGAAAUGUUAAGGAGACUCAUAGUUUUUUAGGAUUGUGUUAUUCACACAUCCUGUUUAUCUUUCACAUAUUCCUCUUAGUUUUUACAAUCGGACCGAAUUAAUUAAAAAAUAUUAAAAAACAGAAAUUAACAAAAAAUGUGUAGAAAGUAAAAAUAAGAUGUGGAUAACACCACCUUUUUCUUAUUGUGAGUAGCAUAUCUAAUCACUAGAAGCAUUAGAUAUAUCCUAUGGAAGUUGAAAGCAAGUGUUCUGUUUAUAAGUGCUUACAAAAUUAUUUUUUAUUUAUUUAAUACGAAAAAGAGAUUACAAAGUAGAAGUGCUUAAGAGAAUAACACACCAAAACGAUCAAAAAGCAUCUGGCACAUAUAAAGGUACCAUUAUUCCACAACUGAGAAACGUGGAACUUUAUGUCCUAGGGCGUCCGCUACAAAGUUGACCACGAAGAAAGGAAUGAGAGUCCGAAUGUCUUUGAGUAAAGUAACGAGCGUCCAUGGAAGUUGAAUAUAGUGUAGACAACAAUCAUGACAUCCCCUUCAACUUUGACAUCUCUCCACCUAUGAGUGAAGGAUAGAGACACACUUUGAUCCAGAUAUCCAGGUAGACACUAAAAUUGAGGCAUGUUGACUAACAUUUAGAAGAUCACGAAGUCAUAACAUGUAAAUAAUGUGUAGAUUGUAUAAAUAAAUUAAAGAUUAUAAAUGCAUGUAAUGAAAAGAAGAGUAUCUAAUUAUACACAGCCAAUAUUCAAAACAUAUAGGUAUGUACACGCAAUUUAAAAUUAAAAAAAAAAAAGAUUCUGGAUUGUACUUAAAAGUAACAUUCGCCUUAAAACAUUCAUAAAUUCAUGAAAAUAUGACUUGAGCUUCUCCUAUGGACAUGGAAGAUAUGUUUGGUGAUGCAUUAGAGUAUGAUCCGCAUACAUCUUUGCAUAUAAAUUGGCCAAGAUAGGAAGUCUUUGACGGAUUAUGCCGUUUACCGCAGUAGACUUCGAGUUUUAGAAGACCAUCACACUCUUUGUAAUGGUAUGGUCAAUCAGAUGGUCGAGUAAAGAGUCACUUAAUUAAUAUUGCUUGUUCUUAUGUUCCUUUAUUUUUAUUUUUAUUUUUGAAGUCGGGUAUGAUUUAAUUUACGUAAUUGUUUAAUUUUAUUUAUGUAAUUGUGUGUUUUUAUGUAAUAGUGUGCUUUUAUUUAUAUUCUCAGUAUAACAACAAGUAUAAGCACGAAGAUAAUUAUCAUUAAGAAUAUUGACAUUAAAUUACAUAAAAGCAUUGAGUAAAUAGCAAUCAUAAAAAUAUUAACAUUACAUGAGCAUAAAAGAAUUGAGUAAAUAUAAUCAUAAACGUCACUGUACGUGGCAACAUGCUGCUAGUUGAUGAUUCAGUGGUUAAGGACGGAUUACAAGGCUUUCUUCAAACUAAAAAUUGGAGGUAUCGGGUCCGAACCUUGCUACUGGUGUGGACGCUAGACUUGUGACCAGGAGGAGGCUAAAAUGUCUCUGUAAGUCUUCCCGGCCCUUGAAAGAGAUGGAUAACCGUAGCUUACCAAUUGUUAUCCGCUCUAUAACCAACGGGGAGCUCUCCGUAGCUCGUUUGACUUCAGCAGUGAAUGAAUCAAAUAUCCACGUCGAUCUGCUUGAGGUAGCUAGAUCACCCUAAUCUAUGGAAGUUUAUUAUUUCCAAAUCUAUCUACGAUUAACCCCCAAUAUUUUCAAACAUAAUAAUACUUAACGAAGUGGAAUAAAAAUAAAUAAAAUAAACUUUGAAUUUUGCUACAGAUACUCGAGGUGUACAUAUACAAUAUGUGGACAUAUAUAUACCUUGACGAGAAGCUUGAGGCAAAUAUCAUCAGACUGGGCUGCAGAGCCCUUGGUCGUUUUGUUCUUAUUUCUGGCAAAAAGAUCAACCUCCUAUACAUCAGUACAUACAAUAUUAUUAAGUAAUAUACAUGCAAUACAAAAACGAGAUAGAGAGGGCGCUUGGAGCGCAAUUGCUUGGUUGCUGCUAAUGCCGAUGAAGCAAAGGUUUUUAGAAGCUUUAUAGAAUAAUGGAUAUAAUGGAACUUGAUGACAUAUGUGAGAAUAUGAUGAACGUUAUAUUUUUGAAGCUCUUUUUAUUAUGCCGACAAAUAUAUUAAUUUAUAUUUCUGAAAUGGUUUAUAGUGUGAAUAUUGUAGAGUAAAAUUUUGGUGCAUCUGAAAAACCAUCACGUGUUAUUAUUUCAUUCAAAACUAUAACACAUGUAUUUUCUUUUUUUAUUUAAUAUUCCUAAAAGACUAACAUUUCAACUAUGUACCAAAGCUACGGAAGUUUGUAGUUUCGAAUAUAUUGGUAGCUAAAUCACCCAACUCUACAACUUCAUUGCUUCGACUUUCUUUUGGCUAACAAAACGCCAAGCCAAACGACUUUGGAUAAAUCUUUAUCCACCUGCUAACCAAUCAUUUAUGCCCAGCUCUACCAUAAGAAGGAGAGGUUGUUCCGAAAGAGAUUUGCAAAAGGUUUUGUUCCAAUAAGGAUACUACUGUUCAACUCUCCACGAAGUUACACACAAAAAAUAAUAAUAAUAAUAAUAAUAAUAUGCACUUGUGAGAAGUGCCAACACUGUGCCACGAUCCCACACAUUCAUGUUAAACCUCUUAGAAGAGCAUAGGACCAGGUUGACGUAAGGAACGUCGCUAAUCAAGACGUCUCAAAUUACUACGGUUCUAGAGUCAACGUCUGCUCUUUAAAACUAUGAGACUAGGUGUUGAAGAAGAAAAUAUCAAAUAAACAAGACUCAAUUGUGAGUACACUUGACAUGAAUUGGGACAGACCAUACGAGAUCAUUGACAUAUAUCGCCCAGGCACAUACAUACUUAAAGAUGGCAGAACACAUGAUCAUCCAUGUAAUGUUGAUCAUCUAAAGUAUUACUACAAGUAGACAGUUCAACAUACUUAGUGAAGAGUCAAUUCAGACAAACUUUGUCUCAACCUGACACCUUAAACAAUCGUACUUAGCCAAACUUUAAAACAAACCAACAUUAUAACUUAAAAGCUCAUCCAUACAUACCUCAAUGAAGUUUAAAACCACCUUCAAAAAGGAACAUGAUUCAUAAGAGCAUCAACAUAAACUUUAAACAUGAUAAAAAUUCCACGAAGACAAAUCCACAAGGUAUCCAAGUCAAUGAUCAAUCAUAUUUAAAGCCAACAUUAGUACAUAAUUUUUUUAUUUUUAAAGUCAACAAGAGAAUACAACCUAAGUUUAGGACGCAACAAUCAACAUUCUCAUAAUAAAACUAAGAGACCACAAAUUCAUUCUCAAAGCAAAGUCAAGAUGCAAUAAUCAUCUUACAAAACCAUUUUGUUUUUUUUUUUCAAUAUAUUGAAUGAUGAGGUGUAACAACCCGUCCCAAAUUUUACAAUUUUAUAAAUUUUAAAAGUGUGAAUUGAUGAAAAUGCCCUAGAGGCAAGGAUUUUGACUUCCGUUGACCAUCAAUUUGAGAGAUGUAUGACUUAUUCUUUUAGCGUAAUUGUGUAGUACUCGUUAGUACGAACGCAUAGGUGAAGACCGUUUGCGAGUCUGAAUUAUAAUGGUAUAGAUAGGGACAUUUGAAAUUGUGUUACUAAACUAUAGAUUUAAAUUUAAUUAAGCUUCCCUCAAAUGUAUGUUAAUUAUGGGACCAAUUAGAUAAAUAUUUGAGGGACCAAUCAGCAUGGGUAACGAAAAGGGGAUCAGCCAAUCAGAAAAAAAAAAAAAAAAAAAAAAAAAGAGGGAGGGGGGUGGACUCCCAACUUUCCCGUGCACCCUUGAACCAUCCCGAUUUCAAAUCGGCGAACUUUCGCCAGUUUUUUGUUGAUCACCACCAUCCAUCACCUGCAACAUCUUUCACAUCUUCCCCUCUACUAUUUCCACUCAAAUUUGGGAUUUUUUUUAAGGUCAAAACCUUGUAAAACUGUGAGGGGUGGCCGAAAGUGUUCCACGGCGAUUCUGCCGUUCCGGCGAGUUUCACCACUCAUCACCACCUCUAAUCUACUCCCCUUGGACCCAGGAACAAAGCCCAAACAACCUUGGAGGCGUCGGAGCACCGGUGACGACGAAUUAAAGCACACCCAUUCUAGGGUUCUGGUGGGUUCGUGGAAAAUUGAGGCUCUUCCAGGUCAAAUUGGCCUUGGUCAUAGG